rnacentral:rRNA from 1 species
GACAGAGGUGCCGAGCGUUAGGCGGAAUCACUGGGCUUAAAGCGUGUGUAGGCGGGUUCUAAGUACCUUGUGAAAUCCCACGGCUCAACCGUGGAACUGCUGGGUAUACUGGGAAUCUUGAGCCACUUAGGGGCUACCGGAACAAAUGGUGGAGCGGUGAAAUGCGUAGGAUAAUCAUUGGAACGCCAAUGGUGAAAACAGGUAGCUGGGGAGUGUGGCUGACCGCUGGAGACACGAAAGCCCAGGGG